UAGGAGAAGCCGAAAAUCCUUCAAAGAGUAGGUA
rfam:Salegentibacter mishustinae strain KCTC 12263 contig16, whole genome shotgun sequence.